AGAGUUUGAUCCUGGCUCAGAUUGAACGCUGGCGGUAUGCUUAACACAUGCAAGUCGAACGGAAACGAUAGAAGCUUGCUUCCAGGCGUCGAGUGGCGGACGGGUGAGUAACGCGUAGGAAUCUACCCAGUAGUGGGGGACAACCAGAGGAAACUCUGGCUAAUACCGCAUAAUCCCUACGGGGAAAAGAGGGCCUCUUCUUGAAAGCUCUUGCUAUUGGAUGAGCCUGCGUCAGAUUAGCUAGAUGGUGGGGUAAUGGCCUACCAUGGCGACGAUCUGUAGCUGGUCUGAGAGGAUGAUCAGCCACACUGGGACUGAGACACGGCUCAGACUCCUACGGGAGGCAGCAGUGGGGAAUAUUGGACAAUGGGGGCAACCCUGAUCCAGCCAUGCCGCGUGUGUGAAGAAGGCUCUAGGGUUGUAAAGCACUUUCAGUAGGGAAGAAAAGUUAAUAGUUAAUACCUAUUAGCCCUGACAUUACCUACAGAAGAAGCACCGGCAAACUCCGUGCCAGCAGCCGCGGUAAUACGGAGGGUGCGAGCGUUAAUCGGAAUUACUGGGCGUAAAGCGCGCGUAGGCGGUUUGGUAAGCUGGAUGUGAAAGCCCCGGGCUCAACCUGGGAAUUGCAUCCAGAACUGCCUGACUAGAGUACAGUAGAGGUGAGUGGAAAUUUCCUGUGUAGCGGUGAAAUGCGUAGAUAUAGGAAGGAACAUCAGUGGC
rnacentral:rRNA from 1 species